rnacentral:misc_RNA from 1 species
UAAUUUUUAAAGAAAUGAAAUUUAAUUACCUCAUACUAAUGUUUAUGAAUGGAAUAGUAGGAGCACAUUCUAAUCUAAUAAGUACCUACUAAAUAAAAAAUUCCUUAAUUUUAUCUAAAGUAAAAUUAAAAAGUGACAAAUUAUAUAAAAUAAAUAAAACUUUAUACACAUAUUAAUUGAUAUUUGUAUUCUUAAAUUUUAUACACAUCUAGUUGAAAGGUCACUUGCAAGGUACGUGCUAGCUAUAAUAAUGUUUUUUUUAAAUUUCAA